GCACACGGUCUUUCUUCUCGUUCAACCAAUCUACCCCUAUCUGUGCACCCCUCGUGAGCUGAGAACUCUCUCGGCUUAUGUUCUUUCCAUAAAACAUCCCAUUAUAACAGUGAAUGAGCAGUCGUCCGAGCUUUGUCUCGACGUUAACAGUAACACACAACUUUCAACAACGGAUCUCUUGGCUCUCGCAUCGAUGAAGAACGCAGCGAAAUGCGAUAAGUAAUGUGAAUUGCAGAAUUCAGUGAAUCAUCGAAUCUUUGAACGCACCUUGCGCCCCUUGGUACUCCGGGGGGCAUGCCUGUUUGAGUGUCAUCAGACCAUCAACCCGAUCGGCUUUCGAGCUCAUCGGAGUUUGGAGUUUGCGGCGUGCGGGAGACUCUCAUGAGCCCUCCCGCUCCUCGCGGAAUGCAUCAGCGGAUGUCCACCUGCGGACUGACCUUGGCGUGAUAAACAUCUACGUCUCGGCUCAGACAUGCGUCUCUUGGCUCUGCUUCGAACCGGGUCGUACUUCGCUGUGCGACAACCCAUUGACAACUUUGACCUCAAAUCA
rnacentral:rRNA from 1 species